rnacentral:rRNA from 2 species
UUUACGGAGAGUUUGAUCCUGGCUCAGGACGAACGCUGGCGGCGUGCUUAACACAUGCAAGUCGAACGAUGAAGCCUGGCUUGCUGGGUGGAUUAGUGGCGAACGGGUGAGUAACACGUGAGUAACCUGCCCUUGACUCUGGGAUAAGCGCUGGAAACGGCGUCUAAUACCGGAUACGACCUGCCCCGGCAUCGGGUGUGGGUGGAAAGUUUUUCGGUCAAGGAUGGACUCGCGGCCUAUCAGCUUGUUGGUGAGGUAAUGGCUUACCAAGGCGACGACGGGUAGCCGGCCUGAGAGGGUGACCGGCCACACUGGGACUGAGACACGGCCCAGACUCCUACGGGAGGCAGCAGUGGGGAAUAUUGCACAAUGGGCGAAAGCCUGAUGCAGCAACGCCGCGUGGGGGAUGACGGCCUUCGGGUUGUAAACCUCUUUUAGUAGGGAAGAAGGGCUUCGGCUUGACGGUACCUGCAGAAAAAGCACCGGCUAACUACGUGCCAGCAGCCGCGGUAAUACGUAGGGUGCAAGCGUUGUCCGGAAUUAUUGGGCGUAAAGAGCUCGUAGGCGGUUUGUCGCGUCUGCUGUGAAAACCCGAGGCUCAACCUCGGGCCUGCAGUGGGUACGGGCAGACUAGAGUGCGGUAGGGGAGAAUGGAAUUCCUGGUGUAGCGGUGGAAUGCGCAGAUAUCAGGAGGAACACCGAUGGCGAAGGCAGUUCUCUGGGCCGUUACUGACGCUGAGGAGCGAAAGCGUGGGGAGCGAACAGGAUUAGAUACCCUGGUAGUCCACGCCGUAAACGUUGGGAACUAGAUGUGGGGGCCUUUCCACGGUCUCCGUGUCGCAGCUAACGCAUUAAGUUCCCCGCCUGGGGAGUACGGCCGCAAGGCUAAAACUCAAAGGAAUUGACGGGGGCCCGCACAAGCGGCGGAGCAUGCGGAUUAAUUCGAUGCAACGCGAAGAACCUUACCAAGGCUUGACAUAUACCGGAAACUUCCAGAGAUGGUUGCCCCGCAAGGUCGGUAUACAGGUGGUGCAUGGUUGUCGUCAGCUCGUGUCGUGAGAUGUUGGGUUAAGUCCCGCAACGAGCGCAACCCUCGUUCUAUGUUGCCAGCACGUGAUGGUGGGAACUCAUAGGAGACUGCCGGGGUCAACUCGGAGGAAGGUGGGGAUGACGUCAAAUCAUCAUGCCCCUUAUGUCUUGGGCUUCACGCAUGCUACAAUGGCCGGUACAAAGGGCUGCGAUACCGUAAGGUGGAGCGAAUCCCAAAAAGCCGGUCUCAGUUCGGAUUGAGGUCUGCAACUCGACCUCAUGAAGUCGGAGUCGCUAGUAAUCGCAGAUCAGCAACGCUGCGGUGAAUACGUUCCCGGGCCUUGUACACACCGCCCGUCAAGUCAUGAAAGUCGGUAACACCCGAAGCCAGUGGCCUAACCGUAAGGAGGGAGCUGUCGAAGGUGGGAUCGGUGAUUAGGACUAAGUCGUAACAAGGUAGCCGUACCGGAAGGUGCGGCUGGAUCACCUCCUUUCUAAGGA